AUUGAACGCUGGCGGCAGGCCUAACACAUGCAAGUCGAGCGGAUGAAGGGAGCUUGCUCCUGGAUUCAGCGGCGGACGGGUGAGUAAUGCCUAGGAAUCUGCCUGGUAGUUGGGGAUAACGUCCGGAAACGGGCGCUAAUACCGCAUACGUCCUUAGGGAGAAAGUGGGGGAUCUUCGGACCUCACGCUAUCAGAUGAGCCUAGGUCGGAUUAGCUAGUUGGUGGGGUAAAGGCCUACCAAGGCGACGAUCCGUAACUGGUCUGAGAGGAUGAUCAGUCACACUGGAACUGAGACACGGUCCAGACUCCUACGGGAGGCAGCAGUGGGGAAUAUUGGACAAUGGGCGAAAGCCUGAUCCAGCCAUGCCGCGUGUGUGAAGAAGGUCUUCGGAUUGUAAAGCACUUUAAGUUGGGAGGAAGGGCAGUAAGUUAAUACCUGGCUGUUUUGACGUUACCAACAGAAUAAGCACCGGCUAACUUCGUG
rnacentral:rRNA from 1 species